AGGAGCAACAGCCCCAGUGGCGCGGCAGCUCUGGAAUCCUGGAUUCAGCUCCGGCAGGAACUCCGUCUGCAGGGCCUGGAGGCUCCGGGGCGGG
rnacentral:pre_miRNA from 1 species